rnacentral:misc_RNA from 1 species
GAUGAAGAACGUAGCGAAAUGCGAUAAGUAAUGCGAAUUGCAGAAUUCAGUGAGUCAUCGAAUCUUUGAACGCACAUUGCGCCCCCUGGUAUUCCGGGGGGCAUGCCUGUCCGAGCGUCAUUGCUGCCCUCAAGCACGGCUUGUGUGUUGGGCCUCCGUCCUCCUCCCGGGGGACGGGCCCGAAAGGCAGCGGCGGCACCGCGUCCGGUCCUCGAGCGUAUGGGGCUUCGUCACCCGCUCUUGUAGGCCCGGCCGGCGCUUGCCGACACAUCAAUCUUUUUUCCAGGUUGACCUCGGAUCAGGUAGGGAUACCCGCUGAACUUAAGCAUAUCAAUAAGCGGAGGA